CACUGAUGAUGAGGGGAGACCG
rnacentral:miRNA from 1 species